AUGGGGGACAGCGUUAAGCGCAUCCUGGAGCCACAGGCUGGGGGACUGGCCGCCAGCCAGCGCUGGAUGCGGCGAGGGCUGGGAUGCACUCGGGCUCCAGGGUGCCGAACCUGGGGCGGGCUGACUUCGGCGAUCCGCGCCUCCGCCCCUCGCCCGGGAGGCGGCGCUGGGGACCUUCAGCCCUCCAGCUGCCCCACGCCCCAACCAACGCGACCCUCCGGCCGCUGGGGCUGGCUGCUUAGACGCGGCGCAGGGGGAGAGGGCGGACGCUGGGCGUCCCCGAGGUCGCCCCGUGAGCUAAGACAGCCGAGCGCGGAGCCAGGCAAACGGCUCUGUAUAUCGAAAGGAAAGAAGGCCAAGGGGAAGAAGGUGGCUCUGGCCCCUGCUGUCAUGAAGAAGCAGGAGGCCAACAAAGUGGUGAAUCCCCCAUUUGAGAAAAGGCCUAAGAAUUUUGGCAUUGGACAGGACAUCCAGCCCCAAAGAGACCUCACCCGCUUUGUGAAAUGGCCCCGCUAUAUUAGGUUGCAGAGGCAGAGAGUCAUCCUCUAUAAGCAGCUGAAAGUGCCUUCUGCAAUUAACCAGUUCACCCAGGCCCUGGAUCGCCAAACAGCUACUCACAAGUACAGACCAGAGACAAAGCAAGAGAAGAAGCAGAGGCUGUUGGCCCCGGCCCAGAAGAAAACUGCUGGCAAAGGGGAAGUCCCCAUUAAGAGACCAUCUGUCCUUCAAGCAGGAGUUAACAUCAUCAUCACCUUGGUGGAGAAUAAGAAAGCUCAGCCAAUGGUGAUUGCACACGACAUGGAUCCCAUUGAGCUGGUUGUCUUCUUGCCUGCCCUGUGUCGUAAAAUGGGGGUCCCUUACUGCAUCAAGGGGAAGGCAAGACUGGGCCAUCUAGUCUACAGGAAGACCUGCGCCACUGUCGCCUUCACACAGGUGAACUCGGAAGGCAAAGGCGCUUUGGCUAAGCUGAUGGAAGGUAUCAGGACCAAUUACAAUGACAGAUACGAUGAGAUCUGCUGUCACUGGGGCGGCAAUGUCCUAGGUCCCAAGUCUGUGGUUCGUAUCGCCAAGCUCAAGAAGGCAAAGGCUAAAGAACUUGCCACUAAACUGAGUUAAAUGUACACUGUUGAGUUUUCUGUACAUAAAAAUAAUUAAAAUAAUACAAAUUUUCCUUCAAGAAA